rnacentral:rRNA from 1 species
GAUGAACGCUGGCGGCGUGCCUAAUACAUGCAAGUCGAGCGAACGGACGAGAAGCUUGCUUCUCUGAUGUUAGCGGCGGACGGGUGAGUAACACGUGGAUAACCUACCUAUAAGACUGGGAUAACUUCGGGAAACCGGAGCUAAUACCGGAUAAUAUUUUGAACCGCAUGGUUCAAAAGUGAAAGACGGUCUUGCUGUCACUUAUAGAUGGAUCCGCGCUGCAUUAGCUAGUUGGUAAGGUAACGGCUUACCAAGGCAACGAUGCAUAGCCGACCUGAGAGGGUGAUCGGCCACACUGGAACUGAGACACGGUCCAGACUCCUACGGGAGGCAGCAGUAGGGAAUCUUCCGCAAUGGGCGAAAGCCUGACGGAGCAACGCCGCGUGAGUGAUGAAGGUCUUCGGAUCGUAAAACUCUGUUAUUAGGGAAGAACAUAUGUGUAAGUAACUGUGCACAUCUUGACGGUACCUAAUCAGAAAGCCACGGCUACCUACGUG